AUUCCCCUUCUUUGUCUAUAAAUCCUGUCGCUGCCUCACCUCUUUGUAUUAUUCUUUACGCAUUAUGAUUUAUUUUCUAUUGAAUUUUCUGCCAGUUUGCAUCUAAUUCGAUUCUGUUACGAUAUAACAUGAUCUUGAUUGUUAUUUUUUCGUAAAGUUGAAAAAUUUUGUGGUGGGUAGCGAUGAUUAUAAAGUAAUUCCUCGUACUGAAUGCUGUUGCCACGGCAUGACAGACCAUUUUUACACCCAUAGAAUAUGAGCUCUCACCCAUCUAUUUGAUUUUAUUUAUUUGUUUAUUUAGUUUCAAUUUAAUAUUCAAUUUUGAAUGGUGUAGAUAUCGGCUAGAUUUCUUUGAAAUUUUGUUUGGUGAUGUGCCGGAGUGUAUUCUAUGUUGCAAUUAAAGGAAUGACAUUUGGAUUGUUGGUGCAUUUCAGCCUGGUACAGGGUUCAUGCACUUUCCCAGCAAGUUGAAUUUUGGAUUGCAUCAUAUAUCCUAUUUGACACUUGCAACUGACUAUUAUCAUUGAUAAUGCUCUCUUGAAUUGGUCGCUACAAAAUUUUCUGUAGAUCGUAGAACUGAAAUAAGCCAUCUGAAGAACAAUGAAUUGAAUUUGAGAAGACUCUCAUUUCAAUGCAGAAGGGCCUUAUCAAGGGCAAGAAGUUUAUAUUGAUUAUAUAUUCAAUGCAAGAUUUGUAGUAUGUUUAGUUGUGCUUAGAAGUGGCUUUUUAGCUUCUCUUGGUUGCAUGCAGAGUUGAUACUUUUAAACAUGACCAAAUGUCCUCUUAAUAUAUUGCAUUGAUUAUUGAUUAUAAGAUAAUCAAGGUAAACUUUUUCACUUAAAUUAUUAUAUCAGAGCAAAAAGUGGGUUUCCUAGUCAGUUUCAGAAGAAAAAAUAUUGAAAAAAACUAGUUUGGCACG